GACGUAGGGCGCGAGCGUUGUCCGGAUUUAUUGGGCGUAAAGAGCUCGUAGGCGGCUUGUCGCGUCGUCCGUGAAAACCCACAGCUCAACUGUGGGCUUGCGGUCGAUACGGGGCAGGCUAGAGUUCGGUAGGGGGAGACUUGGAAUUCCUGGUGUAGCGGUGAAAUGCGCAGAUAUCAGGAAGAACACCCCGUGGCUAAAGGGCGGCUCUCUAGUACGGUACUGACGCUAGAGCGAAAAGCUGGGG
rnacentral:rRNA from 1 species